UACGGGGGGGGGCAAGCGUUGUUCGGAAUUACUGGGCGUAAAGGGUCUGUAGGUGGCUUGCUAAGUCAGACGUGAAAUCCCUCGGCUUAACCGGGGAACUGCGUCUGAUACUGGCGAGCUUGAGUGCAGGAGAGGAACGCGGAAUUCCAGGUGUAGCGGUGAAAUGCGUAGAUAUCUGGAGGAACACUGGUGGCGAAGGCGGCGUUCUGGACUGCAACUGACACUGAGAGACGAAAGCCAGGGGAGCAAACGGG
rnacentral:rRNA from 1 species